AAAAUCUUGUUCUUAAACGGAAGUGGGAUGACAUAAUUUUCCGACCUAACCCUCCGCAGGGACUUUCCAUUGGGUUUCUGGGGUUUACGAGUUGUUUUUGGUAGACGUAAAUUCAGUGGCGGUAAAAUGAUCGUAGGAAGGUAGGGCUCUGUCCGGCAGCGCGACCCCUGGUUCCUGUAGCUGUCCAUCACACACAACUUCGGGGUCAAAUCCUUGGGGCCCCCUUGGACCCGCUGGGUCAGGCGUCGAUCUAUAGAAAUUACCGUAUCCAUAACUCCAGCAAGGAUGCUACACGUCACUAUGGACAUAAAAAGCUGCCAUAUUGGAAUGAUCACAUGGAGGGAAUCUGGAAUCAUGAGUCCGAUGUCACGGGCACUCUGGAAGUUUGUCCCUUUCCCUUGAAGGACAUGACUGACAAAUUGAUCCAACCCGCUUACUAAGAUAUGCAUCAGAUUAAUGCUUACAAUGGCCAAAACUUUCCAAGACACCACCUCAUUUUUGCGGUUACAAAGGUUCAACACAAUGCAGGUGGCGAUGAUUUCCGUGACUGUGAACAUGAAGUGAUGUUUGAAGUAGUUGUAGAAAUCCUCGUUGUAGUAGCUGAAGUAGGACCACCAGGAGUAGUAGUGGGGAUACAGGUUAACAAGGUACAGGCAAAACAUGCUGGUCCUCAGUUUCCUACGUCUCAUCAAUGGAAUCAGUUGGUGACGGAUGGAGCACUGGCGUUAUGGAGGGUCGUAAGUCGACUCUCCAGGAAUGUCUGAACGAAAUUGUCCUUCACCAUGGUCAACAAAGAACAGCUGAAACAUAGAUGGACAUAUAUAUCAAGUGUUUAGAUAUUUAUCAAUAGAUCAGUAUUUCUAGUCAUUGCUGAAUGAAAAAGAACUAAAAUAUACAUAUUGACAAUCACAUGUACUUUACAAUGUAUAACAACCAAAUAAAUUACCUUUCAAAUAAAGUAACUAAUAUCCUUC
rnacentral:sRNA from 1 species